AUGUCUUUAAAAGUAAUUCUCCCCAUGGCUCUUUCGUCUCACAAUUCAUCUUCUCCAUUGAUGACAGGUUCGGUAUUUUACUACUCCUUCACCAGACAAUUCAUCUUCUUUUUUUCCUUUUCUUACCCAGUUUUUGUGCUUUGGCACAUAUAACCGAUGAAUACUUUACAGAAAGAAAUUUUAAUUUGGUUUAAUAUAUACCACAAUUUCGAAGAACGACAAACGAAAAGGAAGUUCAUAUUGAGAGUUUCAUGUGGAGAUUCUGAGUCAUUCCAACACAAUUAAUUCUGAAUAACAACAUACGAAGCGGAAGUUCAACAAUGAGAGUAUUUCGUGUGGAGGUUGCGUGUUAUUCCAACUGUAGGCAUAAAUACUCCCAUGUUGGUAGUGACAAAUAUUGGUAUUGGUUCUGACCUUGGUAGAUGGUUGGUUGUUAUCUUGCUAUCAAAGAUUUUCUUUUUAGGUUGAAAGUUGAGUAUGGAAAGAACGCUAUAGAGAUUCAACAAAUUAACCAUCUAAGGCCUCAAGCCAAACAAUCACAAUGCUUCAUUUUUAACGAAACCUGUAAGGCUCCUUCACGGGUAAAUCACAAUGGUCAUGUAGGUAUGUCUUUUUUUAAUCAAUGUCAUAUAACUUUAUUUUCUUACCUAAAUAUGAUAAAACCGUCACUAAUUCACACAAAAUUAUAGUGAUCGGAAAACAUAAUUUUCCUGUAAUAUUUUCUUAUUCCACAUUUUUUCAUUUUUUAUUUCUAUUCUAAUAAAUAAUAAUCCAAUUAAAAUAGGAGAAAUAUAUAUUUUUAGUCACCCCAAAAAAUAAUAACCAAUAAAAUAUAUAAUUUUAGAUAUAUGUGUAAUUGUGUAUUAUAGAUGUAUAAUAUACUUAUUUUAUAUAUUAUUUGACCAGUGAAUGCAAUUAGUUUCACACGAUCAGUCAAUUUUAUAUUUUUCCCUUAAAAUAGGAAUGACCCAAACCAACCUGAGCCAAUAUCCAUAUACAUAUAUUAAAAUAAUACUAAAAGUGAAUCAUUUUCCCACGGAAAACUUAGUUUGGAUGCAUGAGAUCCUCACAAAAAAAAAAAGAAACAAAGAAUAAAAGGUAUAAUUAGAGAGCACUUGAAAAACAAUUACUAUCAAUUUGAAUGAAAAUCUUGAAAAGAAAAUAAAAAAUAGAAGUAUCGUGUUUUGAAGGAUUCACUUUUAGUAUUAUUUUAAUUUAUAUAUAUAUGGGCAUUAGAUCGGUCGGGUCGGGGUUAGGUCAUUUCUAUUUAAAUUGAAUUAUUAUUUAUUAGACAGAAAAUAAAAGACAAAAAAUUAUGGAAUAAGAAAAUACUACUGAAAAAUUAUAUUUUUAGGCCAUUAUGAUUUUUGCGUGAAAAAAUAUAGUUAUACGACCAUUUAUGAAAUUUACCCGCUCCUCCGCAGGAGCAGAAAUUCUCACAACCACUCCUUAAACGGACAGCGAAUUAGGUGAUGUAUUACACCAAGGUAUGAAAAGACUUUAUAUUCACUGAAUUGGUGAAACGGUAGUUUUCUCUCUGCUCCGAAUAGAAACGGAGAAGCAGAACCGUGUGACUUAUGUAUUUACAGUUAUUUGGUGUUUUGAAAUUCACACGAAUCCCACCACUUGCUUCUUCUUUCUAACCAAAUUACUUUGUGUGGAUUCUUGAAAUUAGAAACUAAUUGAUUGAUGAUUUCCCUUUAGAUCUCUCUUCGAAACUGAUUUCUUAUGGUGGCUUUAUUCAAUUACAGGUGGAUGUAGGGGCGGAUGCGCGUUUACCCAAGUGGUGUCAUCCGACUCCGCAUAGUCGAAUAAAUUUACUAUAUAAAUAUAUAUGCACACAAAAAAAAGUUCAGUCUUCGGUUCAUAUUUCGUCGAUCAAUCCUACCUAAUUCACAUCUUUGUUGAAAGAAUUUAUUUUGUAAUUCCUAAGGGUGUUAACCGGACGGGCUAGACCGGGAUAGAUAUGGAAAAAAACAGCUCGUCCGGUUAGUGGGGCGGGCCGGUUAGUGGGCUGGGAUAUUCCGGAUUUUGGUGGGCAUGUCCGGGUUUGGGCUUAUCGAGUCCGGGCCGGGCCGGGUUAAUUAUUUUUUUUAAAAGUGUAUUAUGUUUCCUUGUUCAAUGUAAUUGUUACUUAAGUGUUUGCAAACUUUUAAAUAAUAA
rnacentral:lncRNA from 1 species